rnacentral:lncRNA from 1 species
AUGCGCCCCCCGGGAGCUGCGACGAUGCCGGCCCAUCUGAUCCCUCGGCACCAAUACGCCAUUGUGGGCUGGGGGAACCAGCUAGAGAAGCCGAGCGGGGGGCGCCGGCUGCCUCUGCUGAGACCGCCGCACAAUCCCUCCCUCGGACCCUCCAGAGCUGCUAUGGGAAGCCGGCCCACGAGGGCGAGCGGCAGCCCCAUGAUCCUGCCCCUGCUCUGGCUCUUUGUGCUCCUCAAGAAUGCUACACCCUUCCAUGUCACUGUCCAAGAAGAUAAUAGCAUUGUGGUCUCCCUGGAAGCUUCAGAUGUUGUGAGUUCAUCAUCUGUAUAUGUUGUGAAGAUAACUGGUGAAUCUAAGAAUUAUUUCUUCCAGUUUGAAGAAUUUAACAGCACACUGCCUGCUCCUGUGGUCUUCAAUGCCAGUUACCAUGGUCUUUAUUACAUAAUCACUUUGGUGGUAGUGAAUGCAAAUGUAGUGAUCAAACCAGCCAGAUCAAUCACUGUGUUAACAAAGCCUCUUCCUGUCACCAGCGUUUCUAUUUAUGACUAUAAGCCUUCUCCUGAAACAGGAGUCCUAUUUGAAAUUCAUUAUCCAGAAAAGUACAAUGUUUUUACAAGAGUAAACAUAAGCUAUUGGGAAGGCAAAGACUUCCGGACAAUGUUAUACAAAGAUUUUUUUAAAGGUAAAACCGUUUUUAAUCACUGGCUGCCUGGGAUAUGUUAUAGUAAUAUCACCUUUCAGCUAGUAUCUGAGGCAACGUUCAACAAAAGCACUCUGGUGGAAUACAGUGGUGUAAGUCAUGAACCCAAACAGCACAGAACAGCUCCUUUCCCACCUCAAAACAUCUCAGUUCGAAUUAUAAGCCUGAACAAGAAUAAUUGGGAAGAAGAGAGUGGAAGUUUCCCAGAGGAAUCAUUCCUGAGGCCACAAGAUCUCAUAGAAAAAGAGAAACUGCUCCAUUUUACAGAUGAUCCUCCUGAAAUUUCUUCAGCCAACACUUCUUCUGGGUGGCCAGAUUUUAACAGUAGUGAUGAGGAAACAACACUCCAGCCAUAUUGGUGGGAUAGUGAAACUGUAACACCAGAAAAUGAAGAUGAAUUUGUCAGUGUUCUUCCCAGGGAAGAUAAAAAUAAUAAUACAGUUAGCCUGAUUGAGAAAUCAACAUCAGCACCUUUAUCUUUUUUUCCUGUGCAAAUGAUAUUGAACUGGUUGCCUCCCAAACCACCUACUGCCUUUGAUGGGUUCCAUAUUCACAUAGAGAGAGAAGAAAACUCUACUGAAUUUCUGACAGUCAACGAGGAAGCACAUGAAUUUGUCACUGAGCUGAAUGAACCUGGAAAAUAUAAAUUAUCUGUGACAACCUUUAGUUCCUCUGGAUCUUGUGAAACACGAGGAAGUCAAUCAGCCAAAACAAUUAGUUUUUACAUCAGUCCUUUAGGAGAAUGGAUUGAAGAAUUAACAGAGAAGCCUCAGCAUGUCCGCGUGAAUGUUUUAAGCUCUACCACUGCCUUAAUGUCUUGGACAUCUUCGCAAGAGAGGGACAACAAUAACACAAUUGUGUCUGUCGUGUCUCUAACCUGCCAGAAACAAAAGGAAAGUCAAAGACUUGAAAAGCAUUAUUGUACUCAGGUUAACUCAAGCAAAAGCAUCAUUGAAAAUCUGGUUCCUGGUGCCCAAUACCAGGUUGUGAUUUACCUAAGAAAAGGUCCUUUGAUUGGACCACCUUCAGAUCCUGUUACGUUUGCCAUAGUUCCCACUGGAAUCAAGGACUUAAUGCUCUACCCUUUGGGUCCGACUGCUGUUGUUCUGAGCUGGACCAGGCCUUACUUAGGGGUGUUCAGGAAGUAUGUGGUAGAAAUGUUUUAUUUCAAUCCUGCAACAAUGAUAUCAGAAUGGACAACCUACUACGAAAUAGCUGCAACUGUUUCCUUAACUGCAUCUGUGAGAAUAGCCAAUCUGUUACCAGCAUGGUACUACAACUUUCGGGUUACCAUGGUGACAUGGGGAGAGCCAGAAUUGAGCUGUUGUGACAGUUCUACUAUAAGCUUCAUAACAGCCCCCGUGGCUCCAGAAAUCACUUCUGUUGAAUAUUUUAACAAUUUGCUGUAUAUAAGUUGGAUGUAUGGGGAUGACACCACUAACCUCUCCCAUUCCAGAAUGAUGCAUUGGAUGGUUGUUGCUGAAGGAAAGAAAAAGAUAAAAAAGAGUGUAACACGAAAUGUAAUGACUGCAGUACUAAACCUACCUCCAGGUGAUGUCUACAAUCUUUCAGUAACUGCCUGCACUGAAAGGGGAAGCAACACCUCUCUGCCUCACCUUGUGAAACUGGAACCAGCUCCUCCAAAAUCCCUUUUUGCAGUGAAUAAGACUCAAACUUCAGUGACUCUGCUAUGGGUAGAAGAGGGAGUUGUUGACUUCUACAAAGUCUUCUGUCAUCAAGCUGGAUCUAAUGAGGAAAUAAAACUCCAGGAGCCAAUUUCAGUUUUUUCUCAUGUUGUGACGAUUUCCAGCCUCCUGCCUGCCACUGUCUACAACUGUAGUGUAACCAGCUUCAGCCACAACAGUGCCAGUGUUCCUACAUUCAUAGCCAUCUCCACAAUGGUUACUGAGAUGAAUCCCAAUGUGGUGGUGAUCUCAGUGCUAGCAAUCCUGAGCACACUCUUGAUUGGACUGCUUCUUGUUACACUCAUCAUUCUCAGGAAAAAGCAUCUGCAGAUGGCCAGAGAGUGUGGGGCUGGAACAUUUGUCAAUUUUGCUUCCUUGGAAAGAGAUGGAAAGCUUCCAUACAACUGGAGUAAAAAUGGACUAAAGAAGAGGAAAUUAACCAAUCCUGUUCAGCUGGAUGACUUUGAUGCCUACAUUAAAGAGAUGGCCAAAGAUUCAGAUUAUAAAUUUUCUCUACAGUUUGAGGAACUGAAGUUAAUUGGGUUGGAUAUUCCACAUUUUGCUGCUGAUCUUCCACUGAAUAGAUGUAAAAACCGUUACACAAAUAUUCUCCCAUAUGACUUUAGUCGUGUCAGACUAGUCUCCAUGAAUGAAGAAGAAGGUGCAGAUUACAUCAAUGCCAACUAUAUUCCUGGAUAUAACUCACCCCAGGAGUACAUUGCCACACAGGGACCUCUCCCAGAAACCAGAAAUGAUUUUUGGAAGAUGGUUCUCCAGCAGAAGUCACAGAUUAUUGUUAUGCUUACUCAGUGCAAUGAGAAAAGGAGGGUAAGUAUAUAUUGGAGUGGUUUGCCGUUUCCUUCUCCAGCAUAUGCAUAUAUAGAUGUGUGCAUAUUGUUAUAUAUUAUAAAUGCUGAUGAGGUGCAAGAUGUCAUGCAUUUUAACUACACUGCCUGGCCUGACCAUGGUGUGCCCACUACAAAUGCUGCAGAAAGCAUCAUGCAAUUUGUACAGAUGGUCCGACAGCAAUCCACAAAGACCAGAGGCCCCAUGAUCAUACACUGCAGUGCUGGUGUGGGACGGACAGGGACAUUCAUAGCCCUUGAUCGACUCUUACAACAUGUUUGUGAUCAUGAAUAUGUUGACAUUUUGGGUCUGGUGUCAGAUAUGAGGUCAUACAGGAUGUCCAUGGUGCAGACAGAGGAACAAUACAUUUUUAUCCAUCAGUGCGUACAAUUGAUGUGGAUGAAGAAAAAGAGACAGUUCUGCAUCAGUGAUGUGAUAUAUGAGAAUGUUAGCAAGUCCUAGUUCAGGAUACUAAGCAGGAGAACAUGAAGUAUACCUACCUUCCCUUGCUUCAGAAUUAUUGGGGGCGGGAAGAAUCUACUAGCCAUUUUGCCAAGGAAGGCCCCUGCUUUGCAGUAUGUGGCCAAUAAAGAAGAUAUAUUUUAUCUUGUAGAAACA